ACGUCGACACCUACGGGAGGCAGCAGUGGGGAAUAUUGCACAAUGGGGGAAACCCUGAUGCAGCGACGCCGCGUGGAGGAAGAAGGUCUUCGGAUUGUAAACUCCUGUUGUUGGGGAAAAGAGGAUGGUACCCAACAAGGAAGUGACGGCUAACUACGUGUCAGCAGCCGCGGUAAUCUGAGCGGGCUGGCAAGGC
rnacentral:rRNA from 1 species